AGGUCUUGACAUCCUCUGACAAUCCUAGAGAUAGGACUUUCCCCUUCGGGGGACAGAGUGACAGGUGGUGCAUGGUUGUCGUCAGCUCGUGUCGUGAGAUGUUGGGUUAAGUCCCGCAACGAGCGCAACCCUUGUCCUUAGUUGCCAGCAUUCAGUUGGGCACUCUAAGGAGACUGCCGGUGACAAACCGGAGGAAGGUGGGGAUGACGUCAAAUCAUCAUGCCCCUUAUGACCUGGGCUACACACGUGCUACAAUGGAUGGUACAAAGGGCUGCAAGACCGCGAGGUUUAGCCAAUCCCAUAAAACCAUUCUCAGUUCGGAUUGUAGGCUGCAACUCGCCUACAUGAAGCCGGAAUCGCUAGUAAUCGUGGAUCAGCAUGCCACGGUGAAUACGUUCCCGGGUC
rnacentral:rRNA from 1 species